rnacentral:lncRNA from 1 species
GCUUCCACUAGAUGUCAACGAUCUUUAUAAAGUUGUUUGAAGCGUCUAUGAUAAACAGAGAGCAAAUUAGAAUGCAAGGAAGUUGACAUGUCAUCACUUCAUUUUUUUGCGCCUGAUGUUUAACGUUAAAAAUGGACCAAAAGAUUAAUGCUAAGCAACGUUUGACAUGUUUGAACGAACGUAAAUAGAUUAUUUACUAGUUUUUUUUAGCUUUUCGGCGUGAUUUUACAACCCCCCCCACCACGUUUUGUGGGAGCAUAAUGAACGCUAACUACUUGGUGUUAUUUGGACAUAAAUUAUGAACUUUGUCAAAAGAAACCACAUUUGUUCCGGACCUGGGAUUCCUGGCAGUGCCUUCUGAUGGAGAUAAUCAAAGACCUGAGCCCUAGGACCAAGCCUCAGGACUACCUGGCCCGAUGACUCCUGGCUGUCCCCGUCCCCAGAUGAUCUGGUCGUGCUGCUGCUCCAGUUCCAACUGUUCUGCAUGUGGCUGUAGAACACUGACCUGUUCACCGGACGUGCUUCUGCGCUCUCUCUCUCUCUCUCUCUCUCUCUCUCUCUCUCUCUCUCUCUCUCUCUCUCUCUCUCUCUCUCUCUCUCUCUCUCUCUCUCUCUCAGCAUAUGCUGUUUCGACCUCUGAAUACUUGGCUGUAAAAAUCCAACUGACAUUUACUCCUGAGGAACGUUUGAACAUCUUGAAGAUCGAUCUGGCCUUAAUGUCCAUGUACUCUUAUAAUCUCCAUCCGGUACAGCCAGAAGACUGGCCACCCCUCAGAGCCUUGUUCCUCUCAAAGGAGUUUUUCUAGCUUGCUGUUUGGGGUUUUUGGCUGGGUUUCUGUAUAAAUACUUUGUGACACCUGCGGAUGUAAAAAAGGAUUUAUAAAUACAUUUGAUUUGGGAGUUUUUUCUCUCUCUGAUGUGUGUGUCCAUCAUUCACUCACCCAGACCUCUCUGGGUUAAACAUCCUGCUGGCGCUCCAAGGUGAAUGAGCUGGAUGAGGGAUUUGAACCAGGUCACAAAUCUAUUAACCUUAUCAUUAAAGAACACCGAGGAUUUCAUACAUAUGUUUCCCUCAGCUGUUACCUCAAACACAUCACAUCUUCUGCUAUUCUCUGUAGUCUAGUUUUCUUAUUCAACGCACAUCUGCACUUUUCUUAUUCAACUCACAUCUGAAGUUGCUGUCUCUGAAACAGUAAAUAGAUGAGAAUUGGCAAUUCUUUUGUCCCAGUUGUUGGUGUUUCUGAACCUUUUUUCUUCAUGCAAAUAUUUAUUCAUUUUCUGUUUGAUUACAUUGCUGUUUGAUGCCCCAUGGUCAUGAUACGAAAACAUAUUUGAUGACUCAUCACUGCUGCUGGAUUUUGAUUUGUUAUUCAGGUAGCGAUCCUGUGUGUUUGUUGUUGCUUAGAAAUCGAUUUUCUUGCCUUUGUUCAAUUUUCUUUGUUGUCUUUAUUUCCCCUGCCCCUGUUCCGACAGGUGCAUGAUAAUGGCCUAUUCUAAAUGAAAACUAAUUUCACACAUAUAUUACUUAGUAUAUGUAAAGACCAGAUUAAAUUGAGAGUAGUCUGAUGGGUUAGAAUAUUAACACUUGUGAAUGAUGCCUAUCGUGUGCGGUCCAAGGCAAGAAACAGUGCAUGCAUUUUUUUUUUUACUUUUUCAUAUCAUAGUUGUAUGCAUCAUGUAGGUUUUAUUAACUUUUGUAUCACAACUAAAGUGGCCAAAUAACUGUAAUUAAUCCACUUUACAACCGGUGUAGCCUACCUGGCAUAUAAAAAACCAUAUCCACAGGAAGCUCCUCCUCGCUAUUCGAGUGCAGGCUAUGGAUGACUUUUUUGGUGGGCAUUCUAAAUAAAUAACACAUUUUAGGUGUACAAAACAUUAAGAACACCUUCUCUUUCCAUGACAUAGACUGUCCAGGUGAAUCCAGGUGAAAGCUAUGAUCCCGUAUUGAUGUCACUUGUUAAAUCCACUUCUGUCAGUGUAGAUGAAGGGGAGGAGGCAGGUUAAAUAAGGAUUGUAAAGCCUUGAGACAACUGAGACAUGGAUUGUGUAUGUGUGCCAUUCAGAAGGUGAAUGGGCAAAACAAAAUAUUGAAGUGCAUUUGACAACCAACAGUUUCCCGUGAGCAUCAAAAAUGGUCCACCACCCAUUCAAUAUUAGGAAGGUGUCCUUAAUGUUUUGUACACUCAGUGUAUAUCAGUAGGCUAUAUGUAUAAGUAGAUUAAAUUGAGAAUAGUCUGAUGGGUGAGAAUAUUAUCAAGUGCUUGUCAAAUUGUGAAUGAGACACUGACGAAGUGUGUGCAGCCAGCAGCAAGAAGCAAAACAGAGUGCCUGCCUUUAGUGCAACAUUUUUCAAAUCAUCAUUAGAGUGGCAUCAGGCACCCUUAGAAUAUAGCCCAAGGUUUGUAUGGUAACUAUAAAUUUAGCAUAUAGGAAGACCUGUUUCAUUUUAUUUCAUUUUAUUUUAUUUCAUUUUAGGAGAUGAGUGACUUACAGGAGGAAUUAGGGUUAAGUACCUUGCUCAAGGACACAUGGAAAGAUUUUUCCACCUGGUCAGCUCGGGGAUUUGAACCAGCGACCUUUUGGUUACUGGCCCAACGCUCUUAAGCGCUUAUCACUUUGUUAACCACUCAACACAGAAUAGCUGUAUGUGCCCACUCCCUCCAUCGGAAAUCGAAUGGGAAAAACAACCUUUCUAUUUUAUUCAGCUAUGUUUAAUUUUAUUCUUCUUACUAUAAAAUAAUGCCACAGGAAUUGUGAGCAAAUCUUGUCUGCUAAAUGAAAUAGUGUAGCCCACAGCCAUAUGGCAUAGCCGGAUCAGGACCUAACAUAAGCACAACUUAGAAUAUGCUAUUAUUCUGUUCUUCUGAAAUAUUUUUUCUUUAUGUCCUACCUAAAAUAAUUCAUGUAUUUAUUGUGAUGGUGCAGGCUAUAUUAAAUGGAUUUAUUAUUAGACUUUUAUAAAAAAUUAGAUGUUCCAAAGGCCCGCAUCUGUGACUUGUAGGCUAUACGUGGAAACCUGGAGAUGCUUAAUGUGUUUAUAUUAAUUAACGGUCAAUUACCGUGAGACCGACAGUUGUUUACAGUUGUCAUCUCAAGCAAUGAAACCCCACUGUAGAGAGCCGUCAUUAUGAUUGAAAUCUAAAAGUAAUUCCAGCGUUCAUCACAUCUUAACAUGCUGGGGAAAUUGGUAUUGUCUUCUUGUGGAGAUCGACAAAGCACGGUUUUGCUUUCAUGCUGAGCUCUGAUUAACAGAGUGAGGAAUAUAGGUUUAACUAAUUUGCUUCUUAAAUUGCUCUGUCUGAUUGCUUUGUGGAUGUAGAAUAGGUUCCGACUCAUUCUGUUUGCAGGAUGAUCCUACAAUUUACACACAAAGCCUUGCAGUCUCCUGACAGUUGUGUGAUUUAGUAGCCUACACAUGGGACAUGGUACAUGAGAGACAGUGUGUGUGUGUGUGUGUGUGUGUGUGUGUGUGUGUGUGUGUGUGUGUGUGUGUGUGUGUGUGUGUGUGUGUGUGUGUGUGUGUGUGUGUGUGUCCAUGUCAUAUGCUGUGUGUAUAUGACAUGGGUUCCAAAAGGGUUCUUCGGCUGUCCCCAUAGCUCUGACGAAGGCCUUGAGGCCGAAAACGUAAAGCUUAAUAAAGAGCAGCAAUACUAGUAAGAGCAGUGUGCAGGUUUCUUCUUUUUUUCUCACGUUAUUCAAUUAUUACUAUGCACUUGCAACAAAGAUAGCUCAGAUGUGAGAGUGCUUUUUGAAUUUUGAAUCUAAAUGGAACCAAAAAGGGUACUUCAAAGGGUUCUCCUGUGGUGACAGCUAAUUGUGGUGACAGCUAAGGUUAUAGAUUGCACCUUUUUUUCUAAGAGUUUAUGUAUGUGUGUGGGUGAAGUAGUGAAUGGUUAUUCCCAUAUACUAUCCACAAAUGCACCACACAGGCCAUAGACUCAUCUGAUUGAUUUAGUACAACAAAAUAAAGUCUGUAUGUUACAAAAAGUAACAUUGUGUAUGUC